rnacentral:lncRNA from 1 species
UGGCUGUUAAAAAACCCUGCCUCUUAAGGAAAACAGUGGAACAUGACAGUUGGGAACUACUCAGAAGGGUCUUAACUGUAAUGCGAACCUUGUCAAAAAGAUGAUGUUUACCAUAGGAGGCACUUUACAUGACUAACUUUCACAGGCUAGGAGACAGUUUAGAUCCAGUUUGAAACAAAAUGAAAAGAAGAAAAGAAAGUUUGAGGCACAGCAGGCAACUCAGAACCUUCCAGUGCUGCUGGUCUAUCCGCAGAUACCAGUAUGCUGUGAAAUACAGUUUCAUCUCUAUAUGGUCCCUAUUGAUCUGGAC